rnacentral:rRNA from 1 species
GACGAACGCUGGCGGCGUGCCUAAUACAUGCAAGUAGAACGCUGAAGAGAGGAGCUUGCUCUUCUUGGCUGAGUUGCGAACGGGUGAGUAACGCGUAGGUAACCUGCCUUGUAGCGGGGGAUAACUAUUGGAAACGAUAGCUAAUACCGCAUAACAAUGGAUGACACAUGUCAUUUAUUUGAAAGGGGCAAUUGCUCCACUACAAGAUGGACCUGCGUUGUAUUAGCUAGUAGGUGAGGUAACGGCUCACCUAGGCGACGAUACAUAGCCGACCUGAGAGGGUGAUCGGCCACACUGGGACUGAGACACGGCCCAGACUCCUACGGGAGGCAGCAGUAGGGAAUCUUCGGCAAUGGGGGCAACCCUGACCGAGCAACGCCGCGUGAGUGAAGAAGGUUGUCGGAUCGUAAAGCUCUGUUGUAAGUCAAGAACGAGUGUGAGAGUGGAAAGUUCACACUGUGACGGUAGCUGACCAGAAAGGGACGGCUAACUACGUG